GUGGGUCUACGGGGCGCAGCAGUGAGGAAUAUUGGUCAAUGGGAGAGAUCCUGAACCAGCCAAGCCGCGUGAGGGAAGACGGCCCUAUGGGUUGUAAACCUCUUUUGUCGGAGAACAAAACCCGGGACGAGUCCCGGACUGCGUGUAUCCGAAGAAAAAGCAUCGGCUAACUCCGUGCCAGCAGCCGCGGUAAUACGGAGGAUGCGAGCGUUAUCCGGAUUUAUUGGGUUUAAAGGGUGCGUAGGCGGU
rnacentral:rRNA from 1 species